GCUUUGGGGUAUAUAAUUAUAUACUGAAUACAGAUGUAAUCAAGCAUGUGCUUAAAUGUUUUGCUGAACUGGGGCUGCAGCAAACAUCUACUCCGCAGAUGAUUCUCCUCCUUGAAAGUUAAGGAUAUGCCACUUACAGUCAAAGUUGGGAAUUUUUCUGAGCUGACUAUUUAACUGUAGAGAGCUUUCCCAACUUGAAGAGGUAUGACUGUGUGCUGAUUGUCUUGAUGAAAUAGUUUGUUAGUUUGAUUAAUAGCAAUGUAUCAAUAACCUUUAAGAUUCUGUUAUUUUAUAAAGAAGUUGAACAAUUUUUCCAUAAACAUGCUGUUAUGCACUAAUGUUACAAAUUUCUCCAAAUAUCAGUUGCUUUCCUGAUUACUGUAGCACCAUUUAUCUUGAAAUAAAAGUCUAAAUAUCAG